GGGUAUCCAGCAAGCAUUCGUUCCCUGAAUGAACCUGAGAGGCAAGUUCAUGCAUCGACCUUCAAGGAUCACACGCUAUUCUGUUACACGCUGCUUUCUGAAUGUGAAAGGCUGGGUGCCUCCUUCCUUGUUUCAAAUCACACAAAUACUGGCUGCUGAACAUUCCACCGACUCCACCCCAAGCCAUGACAAAGCUACAAGGCUGAGCCAGUAUCCCUUCUCUAUUGUAAUGCUGCCUUUGGACCUGCUGGAAGUCUGUGCACUCCCUCCAGAAAACCUCCUUAUGUGAAUCGUAAGCUCUGGUUGCCCCCUGCAUGCACAUGUGGCCUCACAAGUCUUUCUACCAGAGCAAAAUUUAGAAGGACCGAAUCCGUUGUAUCUCCGUGGCAUGACUUGUUCAUCAAUUCACUAUGAGUGAAGUGUCACUGAAUUUGCACACAUGCAAUGCACAGAUAGCCAGCAGAAGGGACACAAGUGAGAGCUGCCAGUGCCCUGCCAUCCCAGAUGGGCUGUGUGUAGUCUGCUGAUACCUCUCAGAGUAAGGU
rnacentral:lncRNA from 1 species